CUCCACGGCCCCGCCCCCGCCCCGGCGGUGGCCACGCCCCUCAGCCAAUCCUGACGCCCCGCGCUCCCCACCGAGCCAAUAGUGGCGCUGUCCGCGCGCGGCCACCUGACCCCGGGCGCCGUUGUUAUUAGGCGCGGCGAGGCGGGCGGCGCGCGGCAGCAGGGUUGGGCUCUGGCCGGGAGUCGAAGAAGGGAGCGCGGGCGGGGAGCGCGGGCGCGCGCCCGCGUCCGCGCCCGGAGGGUCCGCCGUGGCCGCUCGCUUUCUCGCCUCCCGCCUGGAGCCUCGAUCCUGUUCCGCCCCCUAGGCCCUCUCGCCCGCCCCCCUCGUCGGCCCUCAGGUACCCAGCUUGCAGGAGUGCCAGAGUUAGAGUCCCAAGGUGUUCUUCAUGACCACAUGCUUGAUCCAGGCCUAUCAGGUGGACUCUUGCCCUCCACUCCUUCCGACUUGACGGUGAUACAGAGAACAUUCUCCAUCCUUCCGGUGAUUGCAUUCCUUCAUCUCUGUGGGGCCCCAGUGCAGAUGGAGCGGCUCUUGGGAGCAGCCUGGGCUUAUAGUGCAGCUCUCUGCUACCUGCAGCAGGCUGGUAUUCAGGGAGCUUGGAUGCACCACUGA
rnacentral:lncRNA from 13 species